rnacentral:rRNA from 1 species
UACAGAGGGUGCAAACGUUGCUCGGAAUCAUUGGGCGUAAAGCGCACGUAGGCGGUCCAGCAAGCGGGGAGUGAAAGCCCUCGGCUUAACCGAGGAAGUGCUUUCCGAACUACUGGACUUGAGUACUGAAGAGGGUCGCGGAAUUCCCGGUGUAGAGGUGAAAUUCGUAGAUAUCGGGAGGAACACCAGUGGCGAAGGCGGCGACCUGGGCAGAUACUGACGCUGAGGUGCGAAAGCAUGGGGAGCAAACAGG